rnacentral:rRNA from 1 species
AAAGGAAUUGACGGGGGCCCGCACAAGCGGUGGAGCAUGUGGUUUAAUUCGAGGCAACGCGAAGAACCUUACCAAGGCUUGACAUGGGGACGGACGCGCCGGAAACGGCGCGGCCCUUCGGGGCGUCCCACACAGGUGGUGCAUGGUUGUCGUCAGCUCGUGUCGUGAGAUGUUGGGUUAAGUCCCGCAACGAGCGCAACCCCUGCGCCCAGUUGCCAGCGCGUGAAGGCGGGCACACUGGGGGGACUGCCGUGGACAACACGGAGGAAGGCGGGGAUGAUGUCAAAUCAUCAUGCCCCUUAUGCCUUGGGCCACACACGUGCUACAAUGGGCGCGACAGCGUGAUGCGGGGCAGCGAUGCCGGGCAAAACACCAAAAGCGCCCCCAGUUCGGAUCGCAGGCUGCAACCCGCCUGCGUGAAGCCGGAAUCGCUAGUAAUCGCGGAUCAGCACGCCGCGGUGAAUACGUUCCCGGGCCUUGUACACACCGCCCGU